GACGUAGGGCGCGAGCGUUGUCCGGAUUUAUUGGGCGUAAAGAGCUCGUAGGCGGCUUGUCGCGUCGACUGUGAAAACUUGGGGCUCAACCCCAAGCCUGCAGUCGAUACGGGCAGGCUAGAGUUCGGUAGGGGAGACUGGAAUUCCUGGUGUAGCGGUGAAAUGCGCAGAUAUCAGGAGGAACACCGAUGGCGAAGGCAGGUCUCUGGGCCGAUACUGACGCUGAGGAGCGAAAGCGUGGGGAGCGAACAGG
rnacentral:rRNA from 1 species